UACGAGGCAGUCAAGUCCGACCGACCAU
rnacentral:sRNA from 1 species